rnacentral:rRNA from 1 species
CCUACGGGAGGCAGCAGUGGGGAAUAUUGGGCAAUGGGGGGAACUCUGAUCCAGCGACGCCGCGUGAGUGAUGAAGUAUUUCGGUAUGUAAAGCUCUAUCAGCAGGGAAGAAAGCAAUGACGGUACCUGACUAAGAAGCCUCGGCUAACUACGGGCCAGCAGCCGCGGUAAUACGUAGGGGGCAAGCGUUAUCCGGAUUUACUGGGUGUAAAGGGAGCGUAGGGGGUGAAGCAAGUUGGAAGUGAAAGGCGGGGGCCCAACCCCCGCACUGCUUUGGAAACUGUAUGGCUGGAGUGCAGGAGAGGUAAGUGGAAUUCCUAGUGUAGCGGUGAAAUGCGUAGAUAUUAGGAGGAACACCAGGGGCGAAGGCGGCUUACUGGACUGUAACUGACGUUGAGGCUCGAAAGCGUGGGGAGCAAACAGGAUUAGAUACCCUGGUAGUC